GAUGAACGCUGGCGGCGUGCCUAAUACAUGCAAAUCGAGCGAACGGACGAGAAGCUUGCUUCUCUGAUGUUAGCGGCGGACGGGUGAGUAACACGUGGAUAACCUACCUAUAAGACUGGGAUAACUUCGGGAAACCGGAGCUAAUACCGGAUAAUAUUUUGAACCGCAUGGUUCAAAAGUGAAAGACGGUCCUGCUGUCACUUAUAGAUGGAUCCGCGCUGCAUUAGCUAGUUGGUAAGGUAACGGCUUACCAAGGCAACGAUGCAUAGCCGACCUGAGAGGGUGAUCGGCCACACUGGAACUGAGACACGGUCCAGACUCCUACGGGAGGCAGCAGUAGGGAAUCUUCCGCAAUGGGCGAAAGCCUGACGGAGCAACGCCGCGUGAGUGAUGAAGGUCUUCGGAUCGUAAAACUCUGUUAUUAGGGAAGAACAUAUGUGUAAGUAACUGUGCACAUCUUGACGGUACCUAAUCAGAAAGCCACGGCUAACUACGUG
rnacentral:rRNA from 1 species